UCUUGUUUGAGGAGAGAGAAAGGGAGGCGCUAGGGUGCUUGUUUUAGAGAGAGAGAGAGGGAGAACCUUGAAAGAGCUACAUUUGGGCUAUUCAUUUUCUCAUUUUGAGCACUUUGAACUAUUGGAACAAGAACUUUUAAUCUCUUUCACGUGUCAGAGGAAAAAAAAUUCGACCUAACCAAUUAAGAUGGAUCUGUUGAGUAGACUUUCU